GUAGCUCUCUCUCCUAAGGAAAUAUCUCCCCCAGAUGCACCCUCCCUGGCGCUAGCACGCGUUCCCCUUUCUCCCUCCUCGCACGCAACCUCCUCGUCUCCAGCGCUCUCGCCUCUGCUCCACCACCCCGCGCCGCCACAUCCCACACGCCGACGUCGGCCUCGCCCCAGAAAUCCGCCCGCACCGCGGGUCGGCGGGUGUGGAAGAUGCUCAAAUUGAUCGCAAUCACCACCGGCGAAGAGGAUGAGGACAUCCUUGAUAUGUAGCCACGCAAGGUGGAUCCCUCGUCUCGUCGAAGCCGUGAGAAGAGGAGCCCAACCCGGACGACUUCCUCCCGUCCCCCGCGGAUGGUUCUGCUUCCAUUGAGACGCCCAGGCCUGACAGAUCUUGCUCGUCAUCAGCCCAGGGCCGGGUCGGCCGGAGCAGUCGGAGAGGAGUGGCGGAUGUGCGUCCUCUUAGAUGCCGUCGGUCAGAGAAGGGCGGGGAUGAUUGGAUUGCAGCGAGGGAGGAGGCCCGGCUCGGACAGUCCAUGGCGCUAGCGCAAUGGCUCGCCUCCUCUUCCGGCAUGGCUAUUGUUUUGGUCCGCGCCGUUUCUGCCUCGACGGACAUUAUCGUCGUAGGUACCGAUGAGGGACGAGCCGCCAGCGAUGGAUCCCGCGAGGCCAACCUCCAGCGCCCCUUCUCCAGCUGGCCUCGGACGACCUUCUCCCGCCGGAGCUCGGUGGGUCGAUGACCCGCUGGAUGGGAGCCGGCAUGUCCAGCCAUCACCUCUGGUGCCCCGUCGCGCACCUGCCCGCCGCCAGGUGCCCGAGGGCCAAGUUGCGGGGUUGUGCGGUCGCGCUGGUCAUCCCCCGUCCGCUCCAGGAAGCAUCUCGCCGGGGUUGGGGUCAAUCCCGGGUAGGCCUGAGGAGGAGAGAGGGCGGCCUCCAUCAGUCCUCUCCGGUGAGGCCUCGAGGGGCAAGAUGCUACCAAGUGCCAUUUGCUUCAGUGCAUUUUGUUCGAUGAAUCUGCAGUGCUAACAAAGAAGAUGGAAAAGGAAGGAAUAAUAGUAGGACAUGCAUGUGUUAUUUUCCAAGACUUGUUCGAGAUAAAGACCCAAUGAGUCGUCGGAAACUUCCCCUGUCUCUGCAGCAGCAUAUGAUUGUUCAGAGUGAGAGUUUGUCUGAAAAUUGUUCAAAAUGAGGCUCUAGCAUGCUGCACACGGUGUACCAAAGCUUGUUGAUGCAACAACAGCCGAGGAAGUGACGUGUGUCUCAUGUUUUUACUGGAAAACCUUCCAUGAAACAACUUAUUCCAUUCCCUCGGAGCAAGAGCAAAUUUAACAAGGCAAUACAACAAAACGUGGAGCAGCUAAUGGACAUCCAAUCAGCUCUCAAGGCAUUCGAGGAGCGAGGAACAAUGGAUAUAUCGAAUAAAAAAUGUAACCAGCUUUCCCCGGGUGAAGAAUCCUCCACUAAUAAGGAGCCUCAGGUACAUCCUACUCAGGUUAGUUUUGUCGCUAAAAGACAUGGUGCAUUCGAUAGUUCUCCAUUUAUCCAUGGAGAUAGGAUAGCAUGCUUUAUUUCGUUUACAAAUAAACUGUUGCAGAAUCAAUUUAAUUCUGUUAGUGGGCAAUCCCUCUAUAUUUGAUACAUACAUCGUGGCAUGCCUUUUUAGCAUCAUCUUCUAUCAUGUUAUAUUAUUGCCUACUGCCUAACAAUUUUUUGCCGAAGGGGGCAGAUGACAUAGGAGAGAUCUACAACCAGUUUUCCUUAGGUUCUUCUGUUGACAACAAGCCUGCACAACAACAUGCUCGCGCACACCGCAACCAUAGAGAUAUACCGCGACACAUACCAGGAGAGUUGUGCUUCAUGUAGCUAUUACAGCAGGAUAAUUGUAUGCUUGUGUUGAAGAAGAGGUUAUACCAACCGAGGCCAAGUGCACUGAACUUACCCAUGCCUCAUAUAGAUGGCUAUUCUAAAUUGGAUGCCCUUGUUUCCAGAUUUCUCUUCGUUUCCUGAUUUUGUUAAUUUUCAACUAUUUCACAUUGCCAUGCACGUUUGAGGCUCAAAUGUGGAGACCUCUCCUCCAGGGGACAACAUCACAAUGUAUUUUCAUAGAAUACUUAUGUAGGUCUUCUCCUCUCGGAAGUAUUAACAUUCUUCGUUCUUCAAGUGAGUUUUCAUAUGCUUGAGGUUGUGGGAAGAAAACGUGCUGUAAUAUCUGAAAGAUAUGUAAAUAGUUCAAGCAAUUCAAAGAUAUCACUAAUAUAAAUAAAUAAAUAAAUAAAUAUACAUAUAUGUUGUAUACAACUCUAUUAUGAAAUAUACAUUUUGACUUGUGAGUAGAGUCCUUUCUUUAGUCAAUUAGACAUGGACAUCAAAUAACUAAGCGAAAUUAGCAUGACCAUGUAUCAGUUAGCACGUGGAUUGAUGAAGUGGGGGUAUGGUCGCACAUGUUUGUUCAUAUGUACAUGUUGGGUUCAGGGAGGGCAAAACUUAAGGUUUCUUCAUUUAAGAUGGCUCCUUUCUUUUCUUUCAUAAAUCUCUCUUGUUUUCAUAUUUGUGUAUAUUUUCCAUCAUCAAAACAGGCUUCACAAUUCCUUGAUUUCAUGGCUAAUGGGGUUGCAUGCUGUAAAAAUCAGCCGAAGUACAUAUUGUACUCUCAUUCUUAGUCUUGUUUCGUGUGGAAUUACAGAGAGCGGUCGGUGCAGAUGUGGCUUAUAAAGUUUUAUACUUCAAAUCCAGUACUUCAUAAAAAAAUUCAAAGUGUGCAUAGGUUUAUUGUUUUGUGUUGUAUUCCUGGACUUGGUGUGGUACGAGCUGCUGAAUUUUUUUUGGUUUUUGGUUUGGCUGUACCUGCAAAUUUUUUGGCAUGUUUAGCACUUUAGUUAUGCUUCUUGAGUAGCAUUGGAAUGGUUCUCAGACUACUUUCUUCUAUGACAGACUUGGCAAGAAAGGCGGCAGCUGACGAAAGGAGGACACCACCAAGAUGAGCGAGACCGUGCCAACGGACUCAGGAUGAAAAGCACCGACCAACGGCGCAUCAUCCACAGAAGCGGCCAGCAUGGGGCUAAGCCUGCCAUUCCUCCGCGUCAAUGAACAACAGGACCUAAGAUAGCCGAGGUGCGCUCCUGCAAGAGAUGAGGGAGCAGCUGGUGGUCCGGAUGGCGAAGAUCAGGUCAACGUCGGCUGCUUUCCUGUGCCAUUGCCACAUUUCAGCUGAACAUGCUCGGACGGGCAUGGCGCCGGCGCCAUUUCUUCAUCUUCUCUGGAGCCACACCAUUUCUGCAGGAUAAGCGAGUUGGAGGAAGAUGGGAGAUGAGUCGCUUACUCACUGACAGAAAAUCAUUUGGGCAGAACCUCCUUUUCACGAGAGAUGAUUGAUUGUUUUUCCACCUUCGCUUUUGUGCCCCAUGUGUUGCUUGUGAACCACUGUUGUUUAUGUCGUCGGUCAUGUAAACUAUAAGGACAUAUUAAUAUAAUAUGACUCCUAAGCCACUUCCUUUUAA